GAUGAACGCUAGCUACAGGCUUAACACAUGCAAGUCGAGGGGAAACGAUAUUGGAAGCUUGCUUCCGAUAGGCGUCGACCGGCGCACGGGUGAGUAACGCGUAUCCAACCUGCCCAUCACUUGGGGAUAACCUUGCGAAAGUAAGACUAAUACCCAAUGAUAUCUCUAGAAGACAUCUGAAGGAGAUUAAAGAUUUAUCGGUGAUGGAUGGGGAUGCGUCUGAUUAGCUUGUUGGCGGGGUAACGGCCCACCAAGGCGACGAUCAGUAGGGGUUAUGAGAGGAAGGUCCCCCACAUUGGAACGGAGACACGGACCAAACUCCUACGGGAGGCAGCAGUGAGGAAUAUUGGUCAAUGGGCGAGAGCCUGAACCAGCCAAGUAGCGUGCAGGAUGACGGCCCUAUGGGUUGUAAACUGCUUUUAUAAGGGAAUAAAGUGAGUCUCGAGAGACUUUUUGCAUGUACCUUAUGAAUAAGGACCGGCUAAUUCCGUGCCAGCCGCCGCAGUAA
rnacentral:rRNA from 1 species